AGCUGAGAGGGAGAUCUUUACUGUUUUCCGUAUAAAAAUGUCCAUCAGUUGGGGGUCAUAGGGGUUGAAGGAAGAUGCUCAUACAGCAACAGCAAGGUGGGCCACCCGGCAGCCUUUCCACCCUCUCUCAUGCAGGCCUUGCUCAGAGUCCCAACCGGUCCACAGGUCCAGGGUGAACAGUGAGAGGGGUGAGAGGUGGAAGGCUCAGCAAGAGAGCAGAGGAGGAUCAGCGGAGGUCAAGAGAAGGCCAGAAUCCAGGGUCAGGCUGUCUGGAACAGGAAGUAAAAUGGGCCGAGAUGGGGCGAGCCCCAAGGUCCUCGUUUUCCUGAAGCCUUGCAGUCACUUAGGGCAAAUGGAGCCUGAAGAGUGGAGUCCAACUGAGAGUGGGAAAGGCCCGUCUUCUACUUCUCUUCUGGGAGAGAUGUAUGAAUGUGGAAGGCUACCAGUUCUCCAGGGACUUUGUUGCUAACAAAACUAGCAACAAAGUAGGAAAGAUGUUGAGCUGGAAGGGAGUUUGAGGAAGAUGGAACAAUGGGUAUGGAGGAAGAAAGCUGCCCACCCGCCCUUUCUCUGCCAGCCAACCCUCCCUCACACUGUCCGUUCCUUGAUGACACAGCUGAUGUGAUUAAGAUCGUCCCCAAAUCGCUUCACAGCAGCCCUCAGCAUCUCUAUCUCCGUCUCCGUCCACUUGGCACUGUCAGAAGGGGAGAAGGGAAUAGCGAAAGUGGGAGGAAGAGGGGUGUGGAGCCAGCCCACAGGCUACGCAUUCCACAGCAACCAGCCUCCUCCCCGCGAUGCCUGGGGCCCCUUGCAUAAAGAGGUCCUCCUUAGAAAAACAAAAACAAAAGCAAAAAACAAAAUUCUUAAGGCGCCGUGGGAACCCUGCGGACCCCCAACCACACGAUAUUGUAACAACCGCCACCUUAGAAGAAAACUUCUCCCCCAUCAACGUGAAACAGCUGCUUAUGUACACAGCCCACUGAAACCCAUCCAACAAGUGGGGGUCUUACAGACAGAGCCUCUAAACACAGUCUGCUGCAGUCUGACAGAAUUCCACAUGAUUUGGGGGGUGGUGUGGUGUGGGUAGUGGUGGCGGUCUAUGGUCUACCAGUUCGCAGCAGGGUAGAGCUGUGAAAUGAGUCCGGAUUAUGAGCCUCGGUCUGUGGUUUAUCUGUCAUUCAUUCAUUCAACAAUCAUUUAUUAACACCUACUCUGCGCUGUGCCAGGCACAAAGGGAAACUAACAUCUGUCCCUGCCCUAGAGAGUGUCGGUGUCUGUGAUCGAGACCCAGCGUCCGCUCUCAGCGUCCAUCUCCCAGCCCGGGCUCACGUACCCCGCGGGGGAAGAGUCGGCCACGGGAUGCAGCUGCAUGGUCAGCUCCCCGAGCUUCGUGAAGGCGGCGCCCGCCGCGGAGAAGAUCUCUCCAACCUGGGGGGCGGGGCAGCAUUACGGGGGGCCGGCGCACAGUGCCGCGCCGGACCGCCCGGAGCCCCUAGCCCCAACCCAGGCUGGACUCCCGCCCGCCC